rnacentral:rRNA from 1 species
GACGAACGCUGGCGGCGUGCUUAACACAUGCAAGUCGAGCGGUAAGGCCCUUUCGGGGGUACACGAGCGGCGAACGGGUGAGUAACACGUGGGUGACCUGCCCUCAGCUCUGGGAUAAGCCCGGGAAACUGGGUCUAAUACCGGAUAUGACUCCAUGACGCAUGUUGUGGGGUGGAAAGCCUUGUGCGGCUGAGGAUGGGCCCGCGGCCUAUCAGCUUGUUGGUGGGGUGAUGGCCACCAAGGCGACGACGGGUAGCCGGCCUGAGAGGGCGACCGGCCACACUGGGACUGAGAUACGGCCCAGACUCCUACGGGAGGCAGCAGUGGGGAAUCUUGCGCAAUGGGCGAAAGCCUGACGCAGCGACGCCGCGUGAGGGAUGACGGCCUGGUUGUAACGU